UACGAAGGGGGCUAGCGUUGCUCGGAAUGACUGGGCGUAAAGGGCGCGUAGGCGGUUCGUACAGUCAGACGUGAAAUUCCCGGGCUCAACCUGGGGGCUGCGUUUGAUACGUGCGGGCUUGAGUUCGGAAGAGGGUCGUGGAAUUCCCAGUGUAGAGGUGAAAUUCGUAGAUAUCAGGAGGAACACCUGUGGCGAAAGCGGCUCACUGGACCAUAACUGACGCUGAUGCACGAACGCUAGG
rnacentral:rRNA from 1 species